ACGGAAGGCAGCAGUGGGGAAUCUUCCGCAAUGGGCGCAAGCCUGACGGAGCAACGCCGCGUGAGUGAAGAAGGUCUUCGGAUCGUAAAGCUCUGUUGAGAGGGACGAGAGAUAAUAUCAGGAAAUGGGCAUUAGAGGACGGAACCUUUCGAGGAAGCCACGGCUAACUACGUGCCAGCAGCCGCGGUCAUACGUAGGUGGCGAGCGUUGUCCGGAAUUAUUGGGCGUAAAGGGAGCGCAGGUGGGACUUCAAGUCAGUCUUAAAAGUGCGGGGCUCAACCGCGUGAUGGGAUUGAAACUGUAGUUCUUGAGUGCAGGAGAGGAAAGCGGAGUUCCUAGUGUAGCGGUGAAAUGCGUAGAUAUUAGGAGGAACACCAGUGGCGAAGGCGGCUUUCUGGACUGUAACUGACACUGAGGCUCGAAAGCGUGGGGAGCAAACAGGAUUAGAUACCCUGGUA
rnacentral:rRNA from 1 species